rnacentral:lncRNA from 1 species
UUAGUAAUCUUUCAACAUAUAAAUUAUCACUGAAAACUAACAAAAGUAACUAUGCUUUCCAGGAAAACCAAGAUGAGACUUACAUUCCUGCCAUAAACAACUAGGAAACUGGGCGGAAUACUAAAAACAACUCUUUGUAGAUAUUGGACAACCAUCAUUCUGGAGCUAUUAUCUUGAUAUUCAGAGAAGGUAAACAAAUGUGGCUCCCUUCCAAGAGUCUCAAUGCAUUCGCCAAGGAGCAAUUUCACUCUAUUUCCUUCUUCCACCACCAUUUUCCAGAGUCCUCAAUCCCAGGUGAGAGUGUUGGAAAAGUUUUGCUUUCUGAAAUGUAUUUGGGCAGGCCAGUUAUUCCACAUAAAUCAAGUACCCCCUUGAGGUUCCCCAGUUUUUAAAAGCAUGGGAAUGUGGGUUGUCUUGGCUUCACUGCCUUUGUCCGGUGUGUAGGAUGUCCUGGCAGUCCAUCCACUUGAGCUUGAAAUUUGGCCUUGGGGCUGGGUUCUGUUCACUUCCUCCUAAGUAGGCUUUCAGGCCAGGAAAAUGUUGUAAUAGAGUUUCUUCUCUCCAAAAAAUCCCUAGAGAUUCCUCCUCUUGGACUUGAGGGUAGACAUUCAAAUAUUGCCUUCCUUGGAUGUUUUUUAGUUUAGCCAAGGAUUAAUUUUUCCAAUCGUCUGCCCUAAUAAAUAUGUCCAACCCUUCCAUUCAUUCUGUAUUUGAACCCAAUGUCACAGGGUUGUUUAUAUUUAAACCCCUUCCAGAAAUCCAUAUUCUAUUCCUUCAUGACCUUUUAACCUGCCUGCUCAUGUAUAUAUGUG